rnacentral:misc_RNA from 1 species
GCAAACUUGGUCAUUUAGAGGAAGUAAAAGUCGUAACAAGGUUUCCGUAGGUGAACCUGCGGAAGGAUCAUUACUGAAUAAAGCGUGGUCGGGGGUUGUCGCUGGCAUCCUUUGGGAUGCAUGUGCACGCCUCUGCCACUCUGUCAUUCACCCUCUCCACCUGUGCAUUCUCUUGUAGGCCAGUUUGCCAUCCUUUCACCGGCGUUCUCCUGAACGCUUCUGUGUGUCUUGAGACUUGCUGUUGCAGCGACACAGCUCCUCUCGUCUGCAUUCUGGUCUAUGCUUUUUUAACCCAAACCCCCCCAUGUUUUUGUUUUGUACGUAUGGACAAUUAGCUUUGUUAAAGCAUAAUAUGUGUAUACACAACUUUCAACAACGGAUCUCUUGGCUCUCGCAUCGAUGAAGAACGCAGC